UUUCAAAGAAGCUGUAAUUGGGGUAAAGAGAAUCUCCACUUCAUCUAAGUCCAGCCUCAAAAAGCCAUCUGCAAACCCCUCUUUAUCAUUUCUUUUAUCGCCAACGUCUUCAGUCUUGAAGGGAACAGGACAAGUUGGCCGUGCUUCUGAUAUGAUCUGGUCCCAAUGUCACAGGUAUCAUCUCGAGGAUUCUUAGCGUUUUUUUCAAUACCUGCCUCUGUCUUAAAAGCUUCCUGAGACUCUUUUUAAAGUCGACUAGGAGUCAAAUAGGCUCAAUUAGGUCCCGAGCGGCAAAUUCAGUCUCUGUUAGAGAUUAAACAAUGGAGGAAAUAGCGAGGCUAACGAGAAGGCUGCUUUUCAUUACCCCAUCUGAUUUCAUUAGCCUAAUUCACGCUUAUUAAUUAUUGGUCUGAUGAAAUCAUCAAUGCGGGCAUGCCAGGCUCGUGAUGGCUACAUUUGGGGAAUAUUCUGUCUUUCUCGGGCCCUUCCUACAGUGCUGAGAUAAUAUCCCAUUUUACUUUCCUUUCAGUGAGCUGUCCGACUCCAUAACUGUACCGCCUAUGAAGCCAACAUCCUGGGAAUAAACCCGGGGUUUACCACACAGCCCUGCUCUGCAUUGUCAACAGAGAAAUGGAAAAAGAACGCGAGUUUUCAUUCCUUGAGAGUGAACUCCUGUGUGUUUGGACAACGCAUGGGUCAUUAGAGACCGGCUGCCCCCGAGACUGGGCAAUUCUGGCUCAUGUUCUAACAAAGGGCUGCAGGUCUGGUAAGGGUGGGGGUGGACUGGGCCACUCAGGUAAGUUUCACUCAGUGUGGGAGCCCAACGGGACAGCGCAUGAAGGCAGCAGGGCUGAAGCGGUCCCUGGUGUAACUUUACACUAGUUUUCCCCCUUUAAGCCGUUACUGAUCCCUUGGGUUUACAUGUUUGGAGGAAGGCAGGGUGAAGUUGACUGACAGCCUCCUUAUACGUAGGAUCUUAUGGAUCAUCCCAGAGGAUGAAAAGACGGCUAUGCCCUCCCUCCACGGUUCCCAAGAACCGUGUAACAAGGCUCCCACUGCGAUCUUCAUUUCUAAUCUUAUUGUUUGGUCUGUGUCUACUGACAGCAAACAAAUGAGCAUCUUGGUUAAAAUCCAGUUGUUAGUAUGAUGUUUCUUCUUGUCUACAUACUCACUAGUGAAUGUUGUUUGUUUAAACUUGAUCUUCUCUUUCUGAAACAAAAUCUUAUUCCUCCAAGAGUACUAAGAAUAUCCGGGAAAAGCAAAAAAGCUUGGGUGUCAGAGGUUGCCUAAGAUUGCAGUGUGUCUUGAGUCUCCCAAACAAUGUGCAAGCCACUGUUGUGGCUUUCUAUCUCUUAAUUCUCAGGGCAAUUCUUUGAAAUCUUAUUUUUUGUUUUUUGCUUGUUUGUUUGUUCAGGUUCGGGGGUGGAAGCUAGGUUCAUGUACAUUCUACAAAAAAACAAAAGCAUACUUAUUUAGUACAGUACAGAGAGAGUAGUCAGUACUGCAGUAACAGAGAGAAGUUAGUCUUUGUUGAAACAGGGCCUAGGCUGGCUUUGAACUUGAAUCUCUACUCUUGGUAGGCUUUGAGCUUGGGACCCUCAGAUUCCAGGUUUCCAAGUCACUAGAACUGUGGUCCUGUACCUCCAUUCUCUGAUCUCCUGUUUGUUAUCGGAAAUGGGGAAACCAGGGCUAGGGAAUGGCCAAGCUAUUCAUGGAGGUUGAGCCUUCAUUUUAGGAGAUCCAGGGUAUGUUUUACCGUGCCCACCGUCCUGGGAAGGUGGAGGACACAGGCACUCUCAUCAGCAAGGGCAGCACAGACACAGGGCAGUCACUCCGCCCUCCUCCUCAUCCCUUCCCGUUCUUCAUUACCGCCAGCUCAUCUUUCAUCUCAACCCUUACGACUCUGGAAACUGGCCUGACCUCUUACCCUCUGCCUUUUAUGAAAACACUAACUCUUCUCACACCUCCCUUUGCCUCACAAGCCAUCCUGUCCACCCACUGGCCCCGCCUCGAGUUUCCCUCCCUUCUAAUUCCUCCUACAAGCAGCCAUUUGGAAGCAAUUUCCAGGUCCACCUCCUUCCUCCUGCCUCUGUCUCUGGUAAUUUAGAGGUUAGGGACUGUGUGUUUUCCACUUGUCAUGUUUAUGCCUUACACUCUGUGGGUACCUAAUAAAUGCUGAAUAAUAGCAGCUCUAUGACAGUGCAGAACCAGAAACACAGGUUCUCAUAUUUAGUAUGUCAUCACCAGCGAGGCACAUUUAUUCACUGACAGCCCGAGGCUAGGCACUCACCGAAGUUUUUUGCUAGAGCCCUGAACUUACCUUUGCAUACUGGCUUUUUUUUUCUUACUUUCAUGACAAAAGCGGAAGAAAAGAAAAGAAAAUGAGACCACCACUGUUCUUUUCAUUAAAUUCCCAGCAUCCCGAGGAUAGAGGAAAACCAGGACACAGAGCCUUCUGAAUGAGGAGUUAGAGUCCAUGACAAACUACACAAAAGAGUCAGUUUGUCCCUGGGUGUGCAUGUCCCUGGCUUUCCUAUUUAAUAGCAUGUGAAGAAAGAAAGAAUUGGCCUACCUCAAUUUUUUUAUUUUCUACAAAUAACAAAAAUACCUCUGUGUUUAUGCCAUGUGCCAACUAUAGUAGGGGAAAUGUAUUGUUGAGGUUGAAAGUUUAAAGUAAAAAAAAUUGCAUUUUCUUUGAAAAUCAAUAUAAUUGACUCAAGGGGGUUUAGGUACUGUUCUUGUGGGUGACCUGUGUUUGAUUCCCAGCAUACAGCCUCCUGUGGCUCCGGCUCCAGGAGUAUCUAGGCCUCUAGCCUCUGUGGACAGACAUCUGUACUCACAUUUGAGUACUGCUUCCCCCACAAACACAUAAUUAAAAACAAUAUCAACCUUCAAUAGAUCAAUGUGUAAGCUAACAGUGGUUGUUCCUGUUUUUCAGUCAAUAAAUAUUUCAAUUCUGUUUCUUUCACCCACCUGUGUAGAAUAUAUAUAUAUAUAUAUAUAUAUAUAUAUAUAUAUAUGUUUGGCCUUAUGGUAAACAUUGGAGGGUGCUGUUCAGUGUGGAGGCAGAGAUAUAAACAAGUUAUUGGAGGAAAAAUGCUAUAAUAGAAUGGAUAUAAUUACAAAUCCUACAGGAAGAUAAAUUCCUCUGUGUGCCUGAGAGGACUGCAUACGGGAGGUGACAUUUCAGCUGUGUCUUGAAGAUAAAUGGUUGUUCUCUGUCAGAGGGUGGGAAAUAUGUCUGAGAGCAUGAGGAAAGCAAGCCCACAGACAGAACCUCAGUGAAAGGGUGGCGAGCAGAGAGUUAGUUCCAUGGAGAGUAUAAGGAGUGGUAGAAGUCAGCUGUGAAUUCUCUGAUAACCACAUCCCUUGGAUACUCCUUUAGGGAGAUUAAAUUAUGUCUUACAGGCAUCAGGAAAACUUGUGCAGGACAAUGUGACUAUUUUUAUUUCCAAGAAAGGGUUCGGCAUACAGAGUAGGUUAGGAAUGCCCCAGUCUGUGGGUAAGAGAGAACUAAGCAGCCACUAGUCUAGUCGAGGGCUGAGGUAGUGCAUAGCUUGAUUUAGGUGACACGAGGGGGACUUGCAAAAGAGGAAUGCUGAGGACCAGGACCGCCAGGGCGUGAUGACCGGGCUCCUGUGGGGAAGGAGACCAGAACUUGUGUCACCCCAAAUGUCUCAGGUGCUGCACUGGGAAAUUUCUUCACAUCAGUUUAUUCAAACCUCACAAUAGCUUUGUGACACAAGCCGUUAAGUAGUUGCAUUGGUAUUGUAUUAUGAGGUUAAGGAAACUGUUGAUAGUCUCCUCAGGUCAAAAGAACACAGAGUAGAUUUGAACCCUGAUCCUAGUCAGAAGACCUGCGGUCAACACACGUUCUCAGAGUUUCCAGGUGAAAGUCGAGAGGUCUCACAGUUACAACCCUGUGGAUGGUUUGAGAUCAAAGUAAAUCCUAAAUAUCGUUGGUAUAACAAACUAAAUAUCUGCAGUCUGUAUGAAAUCACUUUUCUGUCUAAAACUCUAUUAGUGCUAGUGAAAUGACUGGAAAAAAAGAACAAGGAAAAUAAAACAAAAGACACAGAAAGCCGAAACCUCCGUCUCUUCCCCUCUUUAAGGAGUGAAAUCUCUUUGUUAAGAGUGUGACAGAGUGCCAGAGAUGAGCCUAAUAUGUGUGCAGGAUAAUGUUAGUUUUCAAACAGCUAAUCAUCUUUGUUUCAGCUCAUUGGCAAUUUGACUUUGGGUGUUUCAAUAUGACUGAUUGAAAAUACUUAGGAAAGCUGUAUUAUCCAACAGAAAUCAUUCUAAGAUUAGUCAACAUUUUCCCCUGACUGGUGCAGAAGGCUCUUAUUACACAAGCAGUCACUAAAGAGGGGGGUGGGGUGGUUCCUUUGUGUGCCCCGGGACACCUGAUUUCUCCUUGCUGUUUCUGUCCUUCGGUUUCAGCGUCUCUUGCGUUCUGGGUAGAUCUCAGAAGGUGCUGGUUUGCCUGAGCUCAUGGCACUGGCCUGAGGUUCAUGAAAGAAUGCAGGAUGGGGAGAAAAAGAGGAAGAAGAAAAGGAAGGACAUAGCCUCAAGCACAUGCCCCUUUCUACCCUUUUCAUUUUACUUUUUCCUAGGACAUGUAUUCCUGCAAGGAUCUACUCUAUACAGGAGAGGAAGCUUUUGAUAUGUAGAUCAAGCAAAAUGGAAUGAACAGAAGCAGAAACAACUGAAGUCACACAAGACGGUCGCACUCUGGUGUAGCCCAUGCAGGGCACGUCUGGCCAUCUGGAUCUGGCUCUUUCAGAGCGUGACCUCAGCUUCAAGAUGGGCUUAUGGUGAGAGGCCAAGCCCUCAGUGCUCUUCUGCGGGCCACACCGCGACUUCCAAGACUUCUGAAGAGAGAGCAGGGUCUCUCUCGAUCAUUCUCAAGGUCAUUCUAAAAACCCCUGAAUUUUAGUACGGCUUUCUGGACAUACAUUUUUCAGUGGCCAGAUUUAAGUGAGUAAUGGUUGUGUACCUGUGAGCAACCCAGCUGGUAUCUGUUAGAGCAGCCUUGGCUUGAGGGUAGGUGAUCAUCGUAUCAUUGAUUUCUCUUGUUUUAAUACUGCAAGGGAUGCUUUUGGGCUUGUUAAUAAUACUCUGGAAAUAAAGAAUAAGAAAACAUUUCCAAAAGACUUCCUGAGAAGAUGGGGAUGGGGUAGAAAGGGCAAAGGAAGGAGGGGAAACUGUGAUUGUUAUGCAAAAUAAAUUAAAAAGUUUAAUAAAAAAAAGAUGGAACAGAAAA